rnacentral:rRNA from 1 species
CAAUAGCGUAUAUUAAAGUUGUUGCAGUUAAAAAGCUCGUAGUUGGAUUUCGGGGCAGCCUGGCUGGUCCGCCGCAAGGCGAGUACUGGUCAGCCGCCCUUCCUCACGAAAGCCCCGACUGCUCUUUAUUGCAGUGGUCGGGUAGUUCGGGACGUUUACUUUGAAAAAAUUAGAGUGUUCAAGGCAGGCCUACGCCUGAAUACAUUAGCAUGGAAUAAUGGAAGAGGACCUCGGUCCUAUUUUGUUGGUUUCCAGGACCGAAGUAAUGAUUAAGAGGGACAGUUGGGGGCAUUCGUAUUUAAUUGUCAGAGGUGAAAUUCUCGGAUUUAUGAAAGACGAACAACUGCGAAAGCAUUUGCCAAGGAUGUUUUCAUUAA